AGAGUUUGAUUCUGGCUCAGGAUGAACGCUGGCGGCGUGCCUAAUACAUGCAAGUCGAACGAAACUUUUUUUAUCACCGAGUGCUUGCACUCACCGAUAAAGAGUUGAGUGGCGAACGGGUGAGUAACACGUGGGCAACCUGCCCAAAAGAGGGGGAUAACACUUGGAAACAGGUGCUAAUACCGCAUAACCAUAGUUACCGCAUGGUAACUAUGUAAAAGGUGGCUAUGCUACCGCUUUUGGAUGGGCCCGCGGUGCAUUAGCUAGUUGGUGGGGUAAAGGCUUACCAAGGCAAUGAUGCGUAGCCGAACUGAGAGGUUGAUCGGCCACAUUGGGACUGAGACACGGCCCAAACUCCUACGGGAGGCAGCAGUAGGGAAUCUUCCACAAUGGGCGAAAGCCUGAUGGAGCAACGCCGCGUGGGUGAAGAAGGUCUUCGGAUCGUAAAACCCUGUUGUUAGAGAAGAAAGUGCGUGAGAGUAACUGUUCACGUUUCGACGGUAUCUAACCAGAAAGCCACGGCUAACUACGUGCCAGCAGCCGCGGUAAUACGUAGGUGGCAAGCGUUAUCCGGAUUUAUUGGGCGUAAAGGGAACGCAGGCGGUCU
rnacentral:rRNA from 1 species